GACGAACGCUGGCGGCGUGCCUAACACAUGCAAGUCGAACGGAGUAAGUUGCUUCGGUAAUUUACUUAGUGGCGAACGGGUGAGUAACGCGUGAGGAACCUACCUUUCAGUAGGGGACAACAGUUGGAAACGACUGCUAAUACCGCAUAAUGUAUUUGAGUGGCAUCACUUGAAUACCAAAGCUUUAUGUGCUGAAAGAUGGCCUCGCGUCUGAUUAGCUAGUUGGUGAGGUAACGGCUCACCAAGGCGACGAUCAGUAGCCGGUCUGAGAGGAUGAUCAGCCACAUUGGGACUGAGACACGGCCCAAACUCCUACGGGAGGCAGCAGUGGGGAAUCUUGCGCAAUGGGCGAAAGCCUGACGCAGCCAUGCCGCGUGAAUGAUGAAGGUCUUAGGAUUGUAAAAUUCUUUCACCGGGGACGAUAAUGACGGUACCCGGAGAAGAAGCCCCGGCUAACUUCGUGCCAGCCGCCGCGGUAACAC
rnacentral:rRNA from 1 species